AAAUCUGGAUCAAGCGUCGGUAAGGUGAUAUGAACCGUUAUAACCGGCGAUUUCCGAAUGGGGAAACCCAGUGUGUUUCGACACACUAUCAUUAACUGAAUCCAUAGGUUAAUGAGGCGAACCGGGGGAACUGAAACAUCUAAGUACCCCGAG
rnacentral:rRNA from 1 species